UGGCUUGAUCGCCGUCUGAACUCGGUUUGUUUUUGUUCUCCAAGAAAGUGCUAGUCAUUGAGAGCAUUGGGUAGGCUCAUCAAGUGGAGGAGUAGCGUCGUUUUCUUUGUUUCUAUUCCCAGUGGAUCGGUUUUUGGUUAAGCACUGCAAAAUGGGCCCAGGCUAGGAACCUUCUGGAAAUAAGGAAUUUAGUUUUAAGGAGAGCGCUAAUGCGGCUCCGGGGCUGUCGGCGGCCCGUUGCCCUGUCUGAAGCCUGGGGCUGAAUUAAGCCGCAGUCGCCGCUAACGGAGAGAAAGCACACGCGCCGCAACUCCUCGAUACAACAAAGCAACGACAAACAACUCUCCCUCUGAUUCUCUUUUGGGAGUACUCUCACUUAAAACGCCGCCAAGAUAGCUGGACCGGGCAGGAAACGUCACAGCUCAGAUCCAGACCCCUGUGGAAGCAGCUCCGGGAGUGGGAGCGAGGUGGGUGACGGCCGACCCGUCAGUGGAAAGUGGCUCAAGAUGGCCAGCAGCAGUACAGGACCCAAUGAAUCCGGCCGUAGACGAGGUCAGAGAGGACCCGACGACAUGGCCAGCACCAGCAGGAAGAAGCAGAAGGACAGAGUUAAUCAGGAGAGCAGGGAGGCCAAGAGGACAGCCUCAACCACCACAGAGACUAAAAAAGAUUUGUUGCUGGACUGGAAGCAGAGCGCAUACGAUGUGAUCGUCAGACUUAACUGUGGAGAUGCUGGGGUGCUAAAAGUCGAGGAUAUCGACUCUGCCUUCACCGAUACCACUUGCCACAUCCGCCUGCCAGAUGGUCGUGAAUGGAGCUGUCGUCUUCAUGAGGAGAUUGAGGCCUCCUGCACUAAAUUGCUCUUUAAAGAAAAAGCUAACGUUCUGCAGCUUGUCAUGCACAAGAAGAUCCCCCUCAACAUCUGGCCCACCCUCGCUAGCAAAAAAGAUACCGCGCCAGUGGACACCCUUCGAGAGAACGGAAGCACCCACCAACAGUCGACCACAGGGGUUUCACAAAAAUCUGUUGAAACAGAGAAAACACCUGCCUUGACCUCUGUUGAGCAGAAACGGGUAAAACAAGACCGAGGGUUGAAACGAGGGAUGAAGGGCAAACAGGUAGAGAAUGCAGGUGCGAAAGCAGCUGAGCUUAAAUCAAACAAUAAAACGGACCCAAACAAUGAGCCCAGUGCAAAGCGCACCACACAACUCUCCAAAAACACAAAGGAGCCCCCUGUCGUGUCCUGUGUAGAAAAAGAGCCUCAAUCCAAACCAGCAGUCAAUGGCAAGCCACAGGCACCAGCUAUUAACAAUGCUGCCGCUUCAUGUAGUAAUGCUAAAGACAGUAGUGCUCAACCACAGGGCAAAGGUCAAGGGUGCCAGGCGUCACAAAAGGAGAAAGUGAUGGAUAGGAGGUCAAAAAGCAAUGUUCAGGUUGAGGCAGAUGCUAGCAAAACUGCUUCCUCAGCGUGUGAGCCAAAGGUGUCACAACAGGAGAGUUCCUCCCCUCUUGUAAGUAUGCACGCUUCUUGUGACACAAAUGCUGAAAAAACAACAUCAGUCCAGGCAGAAAACAAAGAGGAGGAAAAAAAGCCACAAGUAGAUGCCCAGGAUCCUGAAAAGCUUCCGUCUCCUAAUUUGGGAUCUAGAGAGCCUUUCUCAACAACUGCCACCAAAAGAGAGGCAUCGCCUCAGAAGACUUGCACAGAGGAAAAGAGAGACAAGUCUAAAGAAGAGCCACAUGUAGGAAACCAAGAGGAGUGCAUAGAAGGUCCAGAGCCGAUGGUGAACUUGACGUUUGUAAAGAAUGACUCGUAUGAAAAAGGGACAGAUCUGAUGGUUGUUAAUGUCUACAUGAAAGAAAUUUGCAGAGAGACGUCCAGGGUGCUGUUCAGGGAACAAGAUUUCACUCUUAUCUUCCAGACCAGCGAUCCCAAUUUUUUGCGCCUUCAUCCGGAUUGUGGACCAAACACUGUCUUCAAAUGGCAGGUUAAACUCAGGAAUCUAAUCCAUCCGGAUCAGUCCAGCUACGCCUUCACCCCGUCCCGUAUCGACAUCACUCUAAAGAAGAGACACAGUCAGCGCUGGGGAGGUCUGGAGGCUCCUGCCACACAAGGUGCAGUGGGGGGCGCCAAAGUUGCUGUGCCCUCCAGCCCUUCCUCACUUGAAAAGAGUCAGCCAGGAAGCAGCCAGCAUGCACUUCCUGCUAAAGAAGAUCCUCGAGUAGGAGAAGAAAAAGCCAAACCUCCUCGAGGCACAGAGGACAAAGGUCUGGAUAGUGUGUCUCCUCGCUCAGUCUCUGAACACAUGCCCCUCAAACAGGAACCAACUGUUACCACGCCCAAGCCCACCUGCAUGGUGCAGCCCAUGACUCACACUCCUGCAGGCAGCGAGAGAGCUGAAGAGGUGGAGGAGAAGAAGGUGUGUCUACCCGGCUUCACAGGAUUGGUUAAUCUGGGAAACACCUGCUUUAUGAACAGUGUGAUUCAGUCCCUGUCAAACACACGGGAGCUCAGGGAUUAUUUCCAUGAUCGGGGAUUUGAAUCUGAGAUCAACUGUAGUAACCCAUUGGGCACGGGUGGUCGAUUAGCCAUUGGCUUUGCUGUUCUGCUUCGAGCUCUGUGGAAGGGCACUCACCAUGCCUUUCAGCCUUCCAAAUUAAAGGCUAUAGUUGCCAGUAAGGCCAGUCAGUUUACAGGUUACGCACAGCAUGAUGCUCAGGAGUUCAUGGCUUUCUUGCUGGAUGGGCUGCAUGAGGACUUGAACCGCAUCCAGAACAAACCUUACACAGAGACCGUCGACUCAGACGGCCGGCAGGAUGAAGUUGUCGCAGAGGAGGCGUGGCAGAGGCAUAAAAUGAGGAACGAUUCCUUUAUUGUUGACCUCUUUCAGGGCCAGUACAAGUCAAAGCUGGUGUGCCCAGUUUGCUCUAAGGUUUCUAUAACAUUUGAUCCCUUCCUAUACCUGCCUGUUCCCCUACCUCAAAAACAGAAGGUGCUGACUGUUUUCUAUUUUUCUAAAGAGCCUCACAAGAAACCAAUCAAGUUUUUGGUCAGCGUGAGUAAGGAGAACUCAAACACAAGUGAAGUACUGGAGUCAAUAUCUCGCAGUGUGAGGAUCAAACCAGAGAACCUGAGACUGGCAGAGGUGGUGAAAAACCGAUUCCACAAGAUCUUCUUACCAUCUCACUCCUUAGACACAGUCUCACCUAGUGACCUGCUCUUCUGCUUCGAGGUGCUGUCAAAAGAUCUGGCCAAAGAAAGAGUGGUGCUUCUAAAGGUCCAACAGAGACCGCAGGUUCCUAGCAUCACAAUCACAAAGUGUGCUGGCUGCUCGAAGCCUCCGGCAUCUGACGAUGAGAAGCUCAGGCGCUGCACACGCUGCUACCGUGUGGGCUAUUGCAAUCAGGCAUGUCAGAGGAACCACUGGCAAAAUCACAAGACUCUGUGUCGGCCUAACAUGGAGAAUAUUGGACUGCCGUUUAUAAUUAGUGUGCCCGAGUCCAGGCUGACUUACAGUCGCCUCACACAGCUUCUGGAAGGCUACUCUAGGUACUCUGUCAAUGUUUUCCAGCCACCUUUCCAAUCUGGUCGAACCUCCCCAGAUGCUAUUCUGUCCCAUGUUGAUCUUACAUCCAUGGCCAGCAGCGUCUCAGAGUGUCAGGAGCUGGAUGAGGAGACUUCAUCUGCUAAAGAAACUGAGAAUGAAGUGGCGCAGAGUGCAUCUGUAACACCCUCGCAAACAGAGACUGUGUCCAGGCUUCCCACGGCAGACGGGGACACCGUCUCCACAUACACCAGGGACUCAGGCUGCUGUGAGCUCGCCACCAGCUCCCAAGAUUCUGUGGCAGAAAAAGAAACGUCAUGCGAAAAGGCUGUUAAACCGGAAGCUGUAGUAACCGGCUAUCAGCAGCCAUCUGAGUCCGGAAGUGGGAGCGCCUCUCAGUUCUACAUCUCAAUUUUGGAUUCGAAUCAAAAGGAGGACAUAAAAGUUGAAGACAAAGGCGAUGCAGUUCUGGAGUUGCCGGAUGACUGCACGCUGGAGCUGGUGUGGAAGAACAAUGAGCGCUUAAAGGAAUAUGUGCUGGUGCGAUCUAAAGAGCUGGAGUUUGAUGAGGACCCAGGCUCUGCUACGGAGACCGCCAGGGCGGGACACUUCACAUUAGAGCAGUGCCUGAACCUCUUCACCAAACCUGAGGUGCUAGCCCCUGAGGAGGCCUGGUACUGUCCUAAGUGUCAACAACACAGGGAGGCAUCUAAACAGUUGCUUUUGUGGCGUCUUCCUAACGUACUCAUCAUCCAGCUCAAGCGCUUCUCAUUCAGGAGUUUCAUUUGGAGGGACAAGAUUAAUGAUAUGGUCGAUUUUCCUGUCAGAAACCUGGACCUGAGUAAGUUCUGUAUCGGUCAUAAGGGUGACAUCCAGCAGCCUCCUAUCUACGACCUCUACGCUGUCAUCAACCACUAUGGGGGAAUGAUCGGAGGACACUACACGGCCUACGCUCGUCUCCCCAGCGACAAGAACAGCCAGCGCAGCGACGUCGGUUGGCGUUUGUUUGAUGACAGCACAGUGACAACGGUGGAAGAGAGUCAGGUGGUGACGCGUUACGCCUACGUGCUCUUCUACAGACGCAGAAACUCUCCUGUAGAGAGACCUUCUCGCUUGCUCGGGCCACUUGGUGCUGAAUCCUCUGCUGCGACGGGUGGUGCUGCCAGUCAGGCGUCUCUGAUAUGGCAGGAACUGGAGGAGGAUGAGGUGGGGCAGCGGGACGCCUCAUUUCGAAGCCUGUUUCGCCCCGGUGUGCGUGGGAGAAGAGCCAGAGCAAGGACGAACAGAGAAGAGGAGGGCAGGGGAGGGAUGUCUCGCCACAGACGAGACACCAUUUCAGAUUACACAGACUGUGACCGUAUGAGAUACUUCAUCCUGGCAACUUUAGCAGCAAUCCUAGCAGUGCUGUUAACCUUCAUUUAUCCUUUGUUUUCCAGGCCUUACCGGGGUUAAAUGUACUUUUUACAAUCAUGACACAACAGCUAAUGAUGGUACUCUAAGUAGUGCAAUCUCAGCAGUAACAAAAAGGUUACUUAAGUUAAAUCUAUAUGUACAUAUUGUGCUGUUAGCCAUCACUGAAAUUAAACCUAACUCAGGUUAUAACACAAUACACAGCCUGAUAGGUGAUACUUACAUUUUAAAAGAAUGUAUUCAAUUUUAAAAACACUCAGGAAAUGUCUUUUAUGAAUGUUUAACAGUAAGCAACAUAAAGAUUAACAAAUAGCCAGAUGGAUAAACUUGAUCUGUUCCUCUUAUUUGUCCCAGCUGUUGAUUCGUAAUCGUUGUGUAUCAGCCAUAUGUUUAAAACAUAAUGGCAGCAUUUUAAACUAUGAUCACUUUUCCGUAGCUUUUUACUCUUAUCUAUAGGUGAUGUCAGAGCUCAACUAUUCCAUCUGAAUCAGUGCAUGUUAUUUUAAAGAUAAAUUCUUUAGAAAAAGGGGUCAUUGUAUAGCCAGGGUCGUCAAUACUUCUACAGCAUUUCUUAUACAUACCUUAUCCUAGUUUUUGUUUAUUUCAGCAUUUACUUUUAGCAUGUAAACAUUUUUAAAAAUCAAAAGUUGUAACUGUUACCAUCAGUUAAUGCACAAUGAACUAACAUCAACAAAUGUAUUGACAAGAUUAAUCAGUCCCCCCAGAAAAACGCGAUUAUGCGAUCACAUGAUUCAACGCAUAAUCAGCCAAAGUCUGCAUAUUUAUGCGGGGGCCGCAUUUUUUUCAAAUACGCCACACUUUCCCAGCAUAAAUUGCAGAUUUCUGUGCGCAAAAUAUGCGGGGCUUGCAUUUCAUAUUCCCUGCAUUUUUGUAGCAAAAAUCACAUAUAUCUAGUUGAAAAAUGUUGCAUUUACUUCACAGAGGUGCAGCCGUGUCCCUUGUUGCCAUGGGACAUUAUAAAGUGACCUGAUUAUGUGACGUGAACAUCUUUUAAAAGCUGCAAACAGUUUUUGCAAGUUGCCGCAUAAAUAUAAUUGCAUAAAUAUCCCGCAUAUUCCAUCACAUUUUUUAAGAAAACGUGCCGCAAGAUCAAGGAUUUUUUUUGCCCACAACAAUCAAAAAAUUGCGUUUUUAUAGAAGGACUGAUUAAUAAAUUCUGAAAAACUACAUUGCACAUUGUUAGUUCAUGUUAGCUAAUACAUUUACUAAUGUUAACAAAUACAACUUUAUUGUAAAGUGUGACCGUCUUAGUAUUGACAUUAAAAUGUAAUAACUUGCCGUCCCUUUGCUAGCGUUUUCCUAUACUGAUAAGAGCUGUGCGAUAAAUCGCAUGCGAUAGUCAGGUGCAUCUCGUCAGUUCCUUAAUUAGUAGUAAAUCGACAUUACCUGCUUUCAGAUGAAGCAGCAUUUACUACACAAAAGCCGCAGUUCCUCGACAAGCUGGGCCAUAUCGCAGGCCAUACGUCCAUAUAAUUAAUGCAAAAUUGCCCUGAUUGUCAAUAAACUAGGGCUCUGUGUAGUAAAUUCCACCCCAUCUGAAAGCAGGUGAUGGCAAUUUACUAUUAAUCAAGGAACCGGCUUUACUGACGAGUUGCGCAUGACUAUCGCAUGUGAUUUAUUGUGCAGCCCUAAUAAUGAUGAUGUUCCCUAGGCUAUAUAGGCAGAUAAACUGCUGUUAACUAAUCAAUCUCUAUCAUAGGUUUUAUGCCACUAUAAGGUAGUGGCUUAAUUUUUCCCAGUGAAGGAAAUGUAGUCAGACUCUAGUCUUUUAUUUUUUCUUCAUUUAUAUUUAAAAUAUUUUGGAUUUAUGUAUUUUUGUGUGGACAAAACCAAUUAGUGUGUUUGUUUGUUUUAAUACUUAAUAGUUUACCAGUUUGUCUGAAAUGUUUAACUAUGAUUUGCUUUGUAGAUUGAUUUUUCAUUUAAUGGGGCUCAGUCCAGUACACUAAUCUGUGAGUUUUUCUUCAUUCUUCACUGUUGAUCCAAAGUUUAGCUCUAUAUUCUGUAAAUCAAGAGGCAAUCCACAUAUUGUAAGAUGAAUGCUACUUGGGUUGGUGGGGAUGUUGCCGUUCCAACAGUCUCAGGGAUGCUGGUGGUCAAUAAUGGUUCAUUAGGUUGGCUACACUAUAAAGCCUGAAUACAUUUUGGCUUCUGUGAAUGCCUCAGCUGAUCUUAAACCACUUCUUUGGAUACAGUGACAAAAAUGCGAAACCAGCUUAAUUAAGGUCACAAGUCCAAAUUGUUUCAGGAGUAUAAUAAUGGUUGUUUCUGAUUUUUGUAGUGAAUUCAUGUAAGUGAACGAAUUGUUACUGGUUCUGAUUGGAUGGUAAAUCUUUUUGCAAUCUUUGAUUAAGGGCACCAGCACAAUUUAAAGAAUGUCAUCACAUGCCUGCUUGUGUAUACAUUAUUUAAAGGGAUAGUUCACCCAAAAAAUGAAAAUCCUGUUAAUAUUUACUCAUCCUCACGUUGAUCUAAACCUACAUGGUACUAAUCGACAUUCAUAGCAGGAAAAACAAAUACUAUGGAAGUCAAUGGUUCCCUUCAACUGUGUGCUUAUUAUGAUUUCUCAAAAUAUCUUUAUUUGUGUUCAACAGAAAAAAAGAAAUUCAUACAGGUUUAGAACAACAUGAGGGCUUCUAGCCAGACUCUGUUUGGGACUGACCUGGACCCAGACGGAUCCCCUUCAUUGAGCUCGGACGUGACUUCUGACAUGUUUGCACAUUCUGGAGAAUGCUCUGCCCCGUCCUACAGCAGCAUGGAGGAGGUGGA